CCUACGGGAGGCAGCAGUGGGGAAUAUUGGACAAUGGGGGGAACCCUGAUCCAGCCAUGCCGCGUGUGUGAAGAAGGCCCUCGGGUUGUAAAGCACUUUCAGUGAGGAAGAACGCCUGGUGGUUAAUACCCAUCAGGAAAGACAUCACUCACAGAAGAAGCACCGGCUAACUCCGUGCCAGCAGCCGCGGUAAUACGGAGGGUGCGAGCGUUAAUCGGAAUUACUGGGCGUAAAGCGCGCGUAGGUGGCUUGAUAAGCCGGUUGUGAAAGCCCCGGGCUCAACCUGGGAACGGCAUCCGGAACUGUCAAGCUAGAGUGCAGGAGAGGAAGGUAGAAUUCCCGGUGUAGCGGUGAAAUGCGUAGAGAUCGGGAGGAAUACCAGUGGCGAAGGCGGCCUUCUGGACUGACACUGACACUGAGGUGCGAAAGCGUGGGUAGCAAACAGGAUUAGAUACCCUUGUAGUC
rnacentral:rRNA from 1 species